AGUGAACGCUGGCGGUAGGCCUAACACAUGCAAGUCGAACGGCAGCACAGUAAGAGCUUGCUCUUACGGGUGGCGAGUGGCGGACGGGUGAGGAAUACAUCGGAAUCUACUUUUUCGUGGGGGAUAACGUAGGGAAACUUACGCUAAUACCGCAUACGACCUACGGGUGAAAGCAGGGGAUCUUCGGACCUUGCGCGAUUGAAUGAGCCGAUGUCGGAUUAGCUAGUUGGCGGGGUAAAGGCCCACCAAGGCGACGAUCCGUAGCUGGUCUGAGAGGAUGAUCAGCCACACUGGAACUGAGACACGGUCCAGACUCCUACGGGAGGCAGCAGUGGGGAAUAUUGGACAAUGGGCGCAAGCCUGAUCCAGCCAUACAGCGUGGGUGAAGAAGGCCUUCGGGUUGUAAAGCCCUUUUGUUGGGAAAGAAAAGCAGCAGGUUAAUACCCCGCUGUUCUGACGGUACCUAAGGAAUAAGCACCGGCUAACUUCGUG
rnacentral:rRNA from 1 species